CAAAAAAAAAAAAUCCUGUAAAACACAUCUCAUUUGAAAAUAAUAAUAAACUUACUAUUUGGAUCUUUAUCCAAAUAAGUUUCCUCAAUUGUAUGUUAUUUCACAAAAAGAAAGACACGAAUUCUUAAGAGAUUUAUGUACCAAACUAAACAUACAAAGUUAUAUGAACCAAGCAAGGAACAUUUCCUAUUUGGACAAGAAAUGUACUUUCUUCCCCCAUCCAUAAACUUUUAUCAGUGUUGACUUUCCAGUUUUCUCUUUCUAAACUCUAUCACAUGCUCUAUACUACUUUUUCUUUCUUUUAUUUCAGUUCCCAGUCAUUUAUAUUGAGGUAGGUAAUAUAUUGCGCAUGUAGGUUGGAAUGAGGACUCACUACAAGUAACAUUUAGUUACCUCUCUCCUUCCAAUCACUACUUUAACAAAACUAACAAACACUAUUUUCCCUGUCUACCUUAAAUUAUUUGGGAAAAGUUGGUUAUAUACAAAUGAAAGAAAAAUUACUUGAAAUGAUUCAAUUUAAUAAUAUCAAAAGAGGUACUAGUAAGAAAUGUCAUGAAAUGCCAUCUGCAGUACCUCAGAGCUAAUAAACUUAUUUUCCUUCUCUCAGUCUAAAAUCUACUGAAAAUGUUGCUAAUAGUUAUAAUGCCAAUUUGCCAACCCAUUAACUCUAAUACCCAAUGUCAUUCUUACCUGAAAAGCUGCCCCUCUACUCAAAAGUAUCUAUUUCAAUUGUUUCUAUGAACUCAUAAUAUUUUUACCUAUAGAAUCCGAAGAAGAACCGAAUUU
rnacentral:lncRNA from 1 species